rnacentral:lncRNA from 1 species
AAUCAAACUAUUUACUGUCCACUUACCUCAGUGAGAUUUAUAAAAAACGACCCAUGGAAACAAUAAUAUCAUAAAUAUCAUGAAUUCAUACAUAAUCUGUAACAUAGCACAUGUCAUAAUUUUAUAUUUCAAUCAUCAAACAACAGUUGCCCCCUUUUCAUCAACCUACUAGUAUCCAUGGAGAUCCAUAGGGAUCCCCGCUACACGUGAACCAUUCCCUUAACAAACUUAAUUUUUAGGGCCGUUCCCAUACCCCAUCCGGUAUAGGCGCCAAACAAUAAACCUUAAUACCCCGUCCGAUAUGAGGGUGAAGCAGGCCGUCGCUAUACCCUGUCCGGUAUGAGCACGAAAUAUUUAAAGUCUCCAUAUCCCAUCCGGUAUGAGACAACAUUUCCGGUAGGGUUUCCUAUGGACCCAGUAUCCACCAUCUCCUAGGAUAUC